UUCCAGACUCCUACGGGAGGCAGCAGUCGGGAAUAUUGCGCAAUGGAGGGAACUCUGACGCAGUGACGCCGCGUAUAGGAAGAAGGUUUUCGGAUUGUAAACUAUUGUCGUUAGGGAAGAUAAAAGACGGUACCUAAGGAGGAAGCCCCGGCUAACUACGUGCCAGCAGCCGCGGUAAUACGUAGGGGGCGAGCGUUAUCCGGAUUCACUGGGUGUAAAGGGGGCGUAGACGGCCGUGCAAGCCAGGAGUGAAAGCCCGGGGCCCAACCCCGGGACUGCUCUUGGAACUGUGCGGCUGGAGUGCGGGAGGGGCAGGCGGAAUUCCUGGUGUAGCGGUGAAAUGCGUAGAUAUCAGGAGGAACACCGGCGGCGAAGGCGGCCUGCUGGACCGCGACUGACGUUGAGGCUCGAAAGCGUGGGGAGCGAACAGGAUUAGAUACCCCCGUAC
rnacentral:rRNA from 1 species